CUGAAAACGUUUGCUUCCAAAUGUCUUCCUAUCUGAACAAUUCAAUACAAAUUGUAACUAGACAUGCAUGUACGUAUGAACAGUGUGUUGUCCAUCAUGAAGUUUGCCGUGCUGUUUCUUUUGUUGACGGCGUUAGCAUUUGAUGAAACUGAAUCACAAAAGUUAUCGAAGGAGAAGGUGGUUUGUGCAAAGAAAGACGAA